UACGUAGGGGGCAAGCGUUGUCCGGAUUCAUUGGGCGUAAAGAGCUCGUAGGCGGUUCGGCAAGUCGGGUGUGAAAACUCCAGGCUCAACCUGGAGACGCCACCCGAUACUGCUGUGACUUGAGUCCGGUAGGGGACCACGGAAUUCCUGGUGUAGCGGUGAAAUGCGCAGAUAUCAGGAGGAACACCGGUGGCGAAGGCGGGUCUCUGGGCCGAAACUGACGCUGAGGAGCGAAAGCGUGGGGAGCAAACAGG
rnacentral:rRNA from 1 species